UACAGAGGUGGCAAGCGUUGUUCGGAAUUACUGGGCGUAAAAGGGCGCGUAGGCGGCCUUCUAAGUCGGACGUGAAAGCCCCAGGCUUAACCUGGGAACUGCGUCCGAUACUGGAAGGCUUGGAUUCGGGAGAGGGAUGUGGAAUUCCAGGUGUAGCGGUGAAAUGCGUAGAUAUCUGCAGGAACACCCGUGGCGAAGGCGGCUCGCUGGACCGCAACUGACGCUGAGGAACGAAAGCUAGGGGAGCAAACAGG
rnacentral:rRNA from 1 species